CCUACGGGAGGCAGCAGUAGGGAAUCUUCCGCAAUGGACGAAAGUCUGACGGAGCAACGCCGCGUGAGUGAUGAGGGCUUUCGGGUCGUAAACUCUGUUGUUAGGGAAGAACAAGUGCUAGUUAAAUAAGCCGGCACCUUGACGGUACCUAACCAGAAAGCCACGGCUAACUACGUGCCAGCAGCCGCGGUAAU
rnacentral:rRNA from 1 species